GACGAACCGAGCGAACGUUGUUCGGAAUCACUGGGCUUAAAGGGCGCGUAGGCGGGCAUUCAAGUCUGUGGUGAAAUCCGGCAGCUCAACUGUCGAAUUGCCGUGGAUACUGGGUGUCUCGAGGGAGGCAGGGGUGCGCGGAACUAAUGGUGGAGCGGUGAAAUGCGUUGAUAUCAUUAGGAACUCCGGUGGCGAAGGCGGCGCACUGGUCCUUUUCUGACGCUGAGGCGCGAAAGCCAGGGGAGCAAACGGGGAUUAGAUACCCCGGGUAGUACCGUCCG
rnacentral:rRNA from 1 species